UUACUGGUGGUCCAGUGCUAAGACUCUGUGCUUCCAAUGCAGGGGCCCAGGUUUGAUCCCUGGUCAGGGAA
rnacentral:tRNA from 1 species